rnacentral:rRNA from 1 species
GACGAACGCUGGCGGCGUGCUUAACACAUGCAAGUCGAGCGGAGCGGCGAACGGGUGCGUAACGCGUGAGUAACUGCCCCCCUCGCUGGGAUAACAGUUGGAAACGGCUGCUAAUACCGGAUAGUGGGGGAUGACUCGCGUCCUAUAAGCUUGUUGGUGGGGUAUUGGCCUACCAAGGUGACGACGGGUAGCCGGCCUGAGAGGGCGACCGGCCACAUUGGGCGUAGAUCCUGCCCAGACUCGGACGGGGGUCAGGAGUGGGGAAUAUUGCACUAUGGGGGAAACCCUGAUGCAGCAACGCGGGUGCUGGAUGACGGCCUUCGGGUUGUAAGCCGCUUUCAGCCAUGACGCGGUGGUGGCAGAAGAAGAACCUGGUAGAUACGUGUCAGCCGCCGCGGUAAUUC